UUCCGGUUGAUCCUGCCGGAGGCUACCGCUAUUGGAGUUCGAUUAAGCCAUGCGAGUCGCGAGAAUUAGAUUCUCGGCGUACCGCUCAGUAACACGUGGGUAACCUGCCCUAUGCUGGAUAAUAACCUCGGGAAACUGAGAAUAAUGAUCUAUAGUUCACUACGCCUGGAACGGUGAGUGGAUGAAAGCCCCGGCGGCAUAGGAUGGGCCUGCGGCGUAUCAGGUUGUAGGGGGUGUAAUGUACCCUCUAGCCCUCUACGCGUACGGGUGUUGAGAGACAUCGCCCGGAGAUGGAUUCUGAGACACGAAUCCAGACCCUACGGGGUGCAGCAGGCGCGAAAACUUGGCAAUGCGAGAAAUCGUGACCAGGGAACUCCAAGUGCAUGGGGUAAGACCUAUGCUUUUCUAGACUCUAAAAAGGUCUUGGAAUAAGAGGUGGGUAAGGACGGUGCCAGCCGCCGCGGUAAUACCGGCGCCUUAAGUGGUAGUCGCUUUUAUUGGGCCUAAAACGUCCGUAGCCGGUCUGAUACAUUCGUGGGUAAAUCAACCAGCUUAACUGGUUGAAUUCUGCGAGGACGGUCAGACUUGGGACCGGGAGAGGUGUGGGGUACGCUCAGGGUAGGGGUAAAAUCCUGUCAUCCCGAGCGGACCACCUGUUGCGAAGGCGCCACACUAGAACGGAUCCGACGGUCAGGGACGAAGCCUAGGGGCACGAACCGGAUUAGAUACCCGGGUAGUCCUAGGUGUAAACGCUGUGGACUUGAUGUUGGGGGUGCUCCGAGCACUCUCAGUGUCGAAGCGAAGGCGAUAAGUCCACUGCCUGGGAAGUACGGUCGCAAGGCUGAAACUUAAAGGAAUUGGCGGGGGAGCACCGCAACCUGAGGAUUGUGCGGUUUAAUUGGAUUCAACGCCGG
rnacentral:rRNA from 1 species